AAUAAUAAGAUACUAUUAAUCUGUGUUUUGUUUUUAGAGAUCUGUGUAAAUUUAUGAUUAACAACCGAAAUUACAAUACUUGAACAAAUGUUAAUUUUUGACAAAAUUACGCUGCAUCUUCCAUAUAAUGGUUCAACUAAAUCUAGUUUUGACCUGGGCUUCUGUGAAUGGAUUGUGGAUGGUAUUAAAACUAGUUUAUCUUUUAAAAUAAAAUCCUUUAAAAGGACAUAUACAGUAGGUGUAACGUGAUUUGGAAUGAAUACACACUUGCAGGAUUUUUCACAUAAAUCUCAUCUGGUACCUCCAUGAUUUCCUGUAGGAUGCCUGUUAGAAAAACUGAAGAACUGAAAGAAGAAACUUUUAAACUUGAUGUUGGGAACUGUAGAAGUUACUGUUAUACAUAGUAUCAUAUCAAGGCUCCAGUUCUCUAGUAUUUGUUUUUUGCUUGUUAGUUAUUUGCAAGAUAUGGCAUAGUAUAGCACACUGCAUGUGUAAAAAUGGAUGAAAGCACUAAAGAAGCAAAACAAUACAAAUUAAAGAAGAAUUUUGUCAUGCGAUCACGGUUGCAAUAUGAGAACUACCGUAACAGAAUAUAUUUAUUGUCGAACAGUUUUGAAUCAAUUCAUUGUAUGAUGAUAGUUUUUUGUUGCUUAAAAAUAUUAUAAAAUUCAAA